UUCGAUCUAACACACACUGUUCUGUGUCACUUGAUAGGCAAUUGAGCAACUCUUCGUCUACCAUUUCAAAGCCCUUAUCUCUUUUGCUAAAGGGUCGGUCGACACCCUCGUGUAGCAGAGAGACCUUUGCCUAAUGUUCCAGAGCUUGAGAAUGCUACUGUGUUUGUGUUGUUUGCAGGUUGGUAAUUGUGUUGAUCUUGUGAGCACUUGAGAGAGAGUUGAUUCUCUUGAUUUUAUAGUUGAAAGUAUUUUAGAUUCAUGUUUUUUUCAUCAGUAUUUAGAAUCAU